rnacentral:rRNA from 1 species
AUACGGAGGGUGCAAGCGUUGUUCGGAUUUACUGGGCGUAAAGGGCGUGUAGGCGGAUAUGCAAGCUGGAGGUGAAAGCCCCGGGCUCAACCCGGGAAUUGCUUUGUAGAACUGCAUAUCUAGAGAAAGUCAGAGGCAGGUGGAAUUCCAGGUGUAGAGGUGAAAUUCGUAGAGAUCUGGAGGAACACCGGCGGCGAAGGCGGCCUGCUGGGGCUUUUCUGACGCUGAGGCGCGAAAGCGUGGGGAGCAAACAGGAUUAGAAACCCCGGUAGUCC